rnacentral:lncRNA from 1 species
AGGUCCUGGCCCUCUUCCAGCCAAAGGGGAAAGGGCCCCACCAAGCCUUGUUACCCACAGACAACAUGAUAAAGCUGAACACUAAAGGACCUUGGAGCAUUAUACUGUAAUUAAAAAGGUGCCAGCUCCGUGGACAACAGAAUUAUUGUUCCUAACUUGAAUGAGAUUGAGCAAAAAGAAUGAAGAACGGUGUCACUAAAGUACUACUGACGUUUGCCAAAACACUUCCAGAGUUUCACCAAGAGAUCAGUCAUCAAAAUGUUUUGGAAAUUUAAAGACCAAGGUAGCCAAAGCACUCAGUGUCACUAAUUGCUGGGUAUGUUCUCAGCUGAAGUUGGGAGGAAUGGGGUUCCCUUGGAGGGCCCACCCUGUGGGGUGGCCAGAACUCUGUCAAUGGGCUCUGCCUCGUAACGGAGUCAAUGAAGGGACAGUUACAGAAACCUGUGCUGUGGGACACGGGAAUACAAUGAUCCGUGUGACAGGAUUCACUCAGAUUUCCCGUCAGGAGAAACCAAACCCUGUUACAGUUAUAGAGGCUACAGUGUCAGAAGAUUCCUGUGCUUUACCAUCACUCCCAAUGUCAAUAGAACUUGGGGUGCUGCAGCUGGUCAGUGUCAGUGUCUCACCACUCCCAGCUGCAGGGCCCCCAUUUAGGGUCCUUCAGCAACGACCACACUGAAGAGUUAGGGCCCAGAGAACAUUUUCCACCCAAAGAGUGCCUUGGGUUUCAGAAAGUAAAAGAUUCUGGUUCACCCUGUGCCCCAUGUGCGCUGCCCCGUCCCAUGGAGUUUACAUGAAUGAGCUGACGGGAUUAUUAGAAGAGGUAGUAAAUGAUACUGUUAAAAUGUCCAAUAGCACAUUGGAUUAUUAGAAGAGGUAGCAAAUGAUACUGUUAAAAUGUCCAAUAGCACAUCCUAUGAGCUCCAACAAACACAAAUGGGGACUCCAGAGAACCGCAUGGCCUUGGAUUAUCUGCUUGCUGGCCAAGGAGGAACCUGGGCUAUCAGGGGACGGGGAUGUUGCACUGCUAGCAGUGAUGGGUUUGAAGGCCAACAGUCAGGAAUCACCUUGACAGAAAGAGCAGUAGAAGAGUGGCAGAAAGAAGAAAAUUCUUCUUGGUGGGAUUGGCUUCGUGGCUGCCAAAUUAGAGGCUGCUGUGAAAUGCAUUCGUGGCAGUGCCUGUCAUCAUUGCAGUGUGUGCACUUGGUGAGUUGCUGUGACACUUUGUGCUGCCAGAAGAUCAGGACCUGGUUUGCAUGUCCCAAACAUCAAAAACUGGAUGGCUGUGGGACCAACCAAGGAUUGGUAAGAACAGCCAAGACUUCUUGGCAAUAA